GCCGAAGUGGCGGAAUGGUAGACGCGAGAGACUUAAAAUCUCUUUCAUGCAAAUGAGUGUGGGUUCGAUUCCCUCCUUCGGCA
rnacentral:tRNA from 1 species